CACAGUUCCAAAAUUACAAUAUUCAUGUUAAGAGAAUUUGCACUUCUGGUAGAAAGCCAAACAUAUAUUAUAUUGUUAUGCUCAAUCGGAUUGAGAUCUGGAGACUUUGGAGGCAAAGGCACCUUGAACUCUUAGUCAUGCUCCUCAAACCAUUCAUGAACAAUUUUUGCAGUGUGGCAGGAUGAAUUACCCUGCUGAAAGAGGCCACUGAGAACGCCAUUGCCA